GAUGAACGCUGGCGGCGUGCCUAAUACAUGCAAGUCGAGCGAACAGACGAGGAGCUUGCUCCUCUGACGUUAGCGGCGGACGGGUGAGUAACACGUGGAUAACCUACCUAUAAGACUGGGAUAACUUCGGGAAACCGGAGCUAAUACCGGAUAAUAUAUUGAACCGCAUGGUUCAAUAGUGAAAGACGGUUUUGCUGUCACUUAUAGAUGGAUCCGCGCCGCAUUAGCUAGUUGGUAAGGUAACGGCUUACCAAGGCAACGAUGCGUAGCCGACCUGAGAGGGUGAUCGGCCACACUGGAACUGAGACACGUUCCAGACUCCUACGGGAGGCAGCAGUAGGGAAUCUUCCGCAAUGGGCGAAAGCUUGACGGAGCAACGCCGCGUGAGUGAUGAAGGUCUUCUGAUCGUAAAACUCUGUUAUUAGGGAAGAACAAAUGUGUAAGUAACUAUGCACGUCUUGACGGUACCUAAUCAGAAAGCCACGGCUAGCUACGUG
rnacentral:rRNA from 1 species